rnacentral:rRNA from 1 species
UAGGGAAUCUUCGGCAAUGGGGGGAACCCUGACCGAGCAACGCCGCGUGAGUGAAGAAGGUUUUCGGAUCGUAAAGCUCUGUUGUUAAGGAAGAACGAGUGUGAGAAUGGAAAGUUCAUACUGUGACGGUACUUAACCAGAAAGGGACGGCUAACUACGUGCCAGCAGCCGCGGUAAUACGUAGGUCCCGAGCGUUGUCCGGAUUUAUUGGGCGUAAAGCGAGCGCAGGCGGUUAGAUAAGUCUGAAGUUAAAGGCAGUGGCUCAACCAUUGUAGGCUUUGGAAACUGUUUAACUUGAGUGCAGAAGGGGAGAGUGGAAUUCCAUGUGUAGCGGUGAAUUGCGUAGAUAUAUGGAGGAACACCGGUGGCGAAAGCGGCUAUCUGGUCUGUAACUGACGCUGAGGCUCGAAAGCGUAGGGAGCGAACAGG